rnacentral:rRNA from 1 species
GAUGAACGCUGGCGGCGUGCUUAACACAUGCAAGUCGAACGGGAUCCCAGGAGCUUGCUCCUGGGUGAGAGUGGCGAACGGGUGAGUAAUGCGUGACCGACCUGCCCCAUACACCGGAAUAGCUCCUGGAAACGGGUGGUAAUGCCGGAUGCUCCGACAUGACGCAUGUCGUGUCGGGAAAGAUUCAUCGGUAUGGGAUGGGGUCGCGUCCUAUCAGCUUGAUGGCGGGGUAACGGCCCACCAUGGCUUCGACGGGUAGCCGGCCUGAGAGGGCGACCGGCCACAUUGGGACUGAGAUACGGCCCAGACUCCUACGGGAGGCAGCAGUGGGGAAUAUUGCACAAUGGGCGCAAGCCUGAUGCAGCGACGCCGCGUGCGGGAUGACGGCCUUCGGGUUGUAAACCGCUUUUGACUGGGAGCAAGCCCUUCGGGGUGAGUGUAC